AGGUAAUAGCUGUCUGCUCCUCCGGUGUAUGGUCUUCACAAAUGACGUGUAGAAAUUAUGUUUACAAGCAGAUAUGGUGAUUGAGAGAAGGAAAAAUCGGUCGAAAAUAGACAAGACAUUAGACAGAACUAAUUCUGUCAGCGAAAAUAUUAUUGAAAGCUCAAACAACGAAGAAGGUAAUACAUCCAAUAUAUUCACAAGACCAUGAAAAUGUGUCGCAUAUGUUGAAAAUUAAAUGGGCUUGACUGAUGUCUUAUAAUUUGAUAUGUAUUCCUGAUAACAAGAUGUGUACGUUUUUGUCAAAUAGAGUGAUGUACUAUCAUGGCACCAUGUGUAGAUGUUUAAGUACAGGUCAAUGAGUUUACAUGCAUUGGCAUGUAAGGGGAAGAAGAAUUACAGUACUUAAAUCUGUCACUGAUGAUUCACUGAUGGUCUCUUGGUACCAUUUCUUCAAGAGAACUCCAUUCCAAAUAACAUUGUUUUCACAAUUAACUAACCUCAUCAGGAAAAAAAAUAUCAAUUCUCUUUAAAUCCUUCUAUUUUUAAUUUAAUCACACAUAUUUUUUUACCAUAUGUCAUUUUCAUUAUAUCAUUAUGAUAAUAAAGUAAUAUUUGUUUUUAAAUAAAGUAAGUGACUCAUAUCAAGAGUUAAAAAUAAGAACCUAAUCAUCUUAUUUAUAUGUAAAAUGAACAUUAGGUAUAUAAUGAUUGUAGAUGUUUUACAUGUACUUAUUAUUUUUCUAAAGAGUAUUCGCAAAAAGAGGAAGAAAUCUUAGAUACUUUAUCAAGCAAUGAUGUAGACAUUGAACGAUUAAGAAGUUUUGCUGUAAGUCCAGGUGGAUUACUGAAUGAUGAUAUACGAAAAGAGGUUUGGCCAAGGCUGCUUGAUGUUGAUGUAACAGACAUUCCAAAGAAACCUCCCGAGGAGGUUUUACAUGGACACAGAGAUUAUACUCAGGUUGUGAUGGAUGUCAAUCGGUCCUUGAAGAGAUUCCCCCCAGGUAUGGAGGAGGAGGUCAGAAUGUCGUAUCAGGACCAGCUAGUAGAUUUGAUCAUGAGGGUUCUAGUGCAACACGAGGAACUUCACUACUACCAGGGCUAUCAUGAUAUCUGUGUCACAUUUCUGCUUGUUCUGGGGGAGGAUCUAGCCUUUGCUGUCCUUGAUGUUUUAUCAUUACAACAUCUCAGGGAUUUCAUGGAUGUCAACAUGGACCGAACAAAACAUAUACUCAACUACUUGUACCCUAUUGUGGGAAGAGCCAGUCCUAAAUUACGACAAUUUAUGGAAGAAUCUGAAGUAGGAACUGUAUUUAGUUUAAGCUGGUUGAUAACAUGGUUUGGUCACGUCCUUGGUGACCUAGAUUCCAUUGUGAGGCUCUAUGAUUUCUUCAUGGCCAGUGCUCCACUAAUGCCAAUAUACAUGGCAGCCUCUAUCGUUUUAUAUAGAGAAAAGGAAAUUCUUGCAAGUGAGUGUGAAAUGUGUACCUUGCACGGAAUGUUAUCACAUAUACCUGACAAUCUGCCUUAUGAAGAAUUAAUUGUCACAGCCAAGGAUCUGUUCUCAAAAUGUCCCCCCAAGAUAGUUGCAAAAGAAGCUGCAGAGAUUCAUGAGCAAAAAAAGUAAGGCUAUUUCAUGUAUUACUUUUAAACAAUGAAUAGUACAGUCAAAAUUCUUUAUCUCAAACUAGAUGGGACUGUUUAAAAACUUCAAGAUAUCCGAGUAUUUGAGAUAUUGAGGGCAAAAUUCUGU
rnacentral:misc_RNA from 1 species